CGGUGCUUGCACCGGAUGAGAGUGGCGCACGGGUGCGUAACACGUAUGUAACCUACCCUUGUCAGGGGGAUAGCCUCUCGAAAGAGAGAUUAAGCCCGCAUAACAUGUUGAUAUGGCAUCAUAUUAACAUCAAAUAUUUAUAGGACGGGGAUGGGCAUGCGGAACAUUAGCUAGUUGGUAAGGUAACGGCUUACCAAGGCAACGAUGUUUAGGGGAUCUGAGAGGAUGGCCCCCCACACUGGUACUGAGACACGGACCAGACUCCUACGGGAGGCAGCAGUAAGGAAUAUUGGUCAAUGGGCGGAAGCCUGAACCAGCCAUGCCGCGUGCAGGAAGACGGCCCUACGGGUUGUAAACUGCUUUUGCAGGGGAAUAAACCCCCCAACGAGUUGGGGGCUGAAUGUGCUCUGAGAAUAAGGAUCGGCUAACUCCGUGCCAGCAGCCGCGGUAAUACGGAGGAUCCGAGCGUUAUCCGGAUUUAUUGGGUUUAAAGGGUGCGUAGGCGGCCUUGUAAGUCAGGGGUGAAAGACGGUAGCUUAACUAUCGCAGUGCCUUUGAUACUGCAGGGCUUGAAUGUACUUGAGGUAGGCGGAAUGUGACAAGUAGCGGUGAAAUGCAUAGAUAUGUCACAGAACACCAAUUGCGAAGGCAGCUUACUAAAGUAAGAUUGACGCUGAGGCACGAAAGCGUGGGGAUCAAACAGGAUUAGAUACCCUGGUAGUCCACGCCCUAAACGAUGAAUACUCGAUGUUGGCGAUAUACAGUCAGCGUCAAAGCGAAAGCGUUAAGUAUUCCACCUGGGGAGUACGCCCGCAAGGGUGAAACUCAAAGGAAUUGAC
rnacentral:rRNA from 1 species